rnacentral:misc_RNA from 1 species
AACGCACAUUGCGCCCCUUGGUAUUCCGAGGGGCAUGCCUGUUCGAGCGUCAUUACAACCUCAAGCAUUGCUUGGUAUUGGGCUCCGCUGUUCACCCAGCGGGCCUUAAAAUCAGUGGCGGUGCCAUCGAGGCCCUGAGCGUAGUAAAUAUCCUCGCUAUAGGGACCUGGUGGACGCUGGCCAUUAACCCCCAACUUUCUAAGUUUGACCUCGGAUCAGGUAGGGAUACCCGCUGAACUUAA